rnacentral:rRNA from 1 species
AUUGAACGCUGGCGGCAGGCCUAACACAUGCAAGUCGAACGAGUGGCGGACGGGUGAGCAAAGUCUGGGAAACUGCCUGAUGGAGGGGGUUCAACACCGGAAACGGUAGCUAUUACCGCCUCCCAUCAUAUGUGUCCAGAUGGGAUCUGCUAGUUGGUGGGGUAACGGCUCACCAAGCCGACGAUCACUAGCUGGGCUGAGAGGAUGACCAGCAAGACAGGAAAUGAGACACGGGCCAGAAUCCUACGGGAGGCAGCAGUGGGGAAUAUUGCACAAUGGGCGAAAGCCUGAUGCAGCCAUGCCGCGUGUAUGAAGAAGGCCUUCGGGUUGUAAAGUACUUUCAGCGGGGAGGCGUUACCCGAAGAAGAAGCACCGGCUAACUCCGUGCCAGCAGCCGCGGUAAUUC